CCUACGGGAGGCAGCAGUAGGGAAUCUUUCACAAUGGGCGAAAGCCUGAUGGAGCAACGCCGCGUGCAGGAUGAAGGCCUUCGGGUUGUAAACUGCUUUUAUAAGCGAGAAAGAUGAUGGUAACUUAUGAAUAAGGAUCGGCUAACUACGUGCCAGCAGCCGCGGUCAUACGUAGGAUCCGAGCAUUAUCCGGAGUGACUGGGUGUAAAGAGUUGCGUAGGUGGCAUAAUAAGUAGCUAGUGAAAUCUGGUGGCGCAACCAUUCAGACUAUUAGCUAAACUGUUAAGCUCGAGACCGUUAGGGGUAACUGGAAUUUCUAGUGUAGGAGUGAAAUCCGUAGAUAUUAGAAGGAACACCAAUAGCGUAGGCAGGUUGCUGGGACGGUUCUGACACUAAGGCACGAAAGCGUAGGGAGCAAACGGGAUUAGAUACCCCUGUAGUC
rnacentral:rRNA from 1 species